GCAGCGCCGGCCGAGCGGCGACCCCAGCGGGGGCACGCAGCAGUCCGUGAGUCCCCGGGCGCCUCCGCGCCCUCCUGGAUCCCUCCUUCGGGGAGUUAGAUAGUGAACGCGGCCAGAGACGGACAUGCAUUGUUUCAGAGAGCGCUAGAUGCUGAGAAACGAACUUUUUGAAAAGUAAUGGGCCAGAGCGUGGGGACACGGGAGCUAGGCAGUCCCGGAGGGCGUAAGGAGACGACUUUAGAGCUGAGACCUGGAUGGCCUCUCGGAAGAAGAACUUGAGCGUCGGUCCUGCUAUCCUCCACGUCAGCCUCUGCCUCAUUCUGCAGAGCCGACCCUGAUGAUGCAGAAACAGAAACGUCAACCUAAAUUCCCCAGGGGGUGCGAUUUGACAGUCUAGCAGUCCACCCCAGGACUCACAGCAGUGCAAGACAGAUCUCUUCCUACAAGAGAAAUGACGACGUCCUGCACCAGAAGUCACGCACCGAUGGCCCGCAAGCCACAUGGGGUUUGGAGACGUGCUUUGUCUAGGGCGUACGGUGUUUGUAGGUGCUUCUUUGUUUUAUGUUGGCCCAAAUUUAAAAAUCAAGUGAUUUCACAGACAAA